rnacentral:rRNA from 1 species
CCUACGGGUGGCAGCAGUCGAGAAUCAUUCACAAUGGGGGAAACCCUGAUGGUGCGACGCCGCGUGGAGGAAUGAAGGUCUUCGGAUUGUAAACCCCUGUCAUGUGGGAGCAAAUUAAAAAGAUAGUACCGCAAGAGGAAGAGACGGCUAACUCUGUGCAAGCAGCCGCGGUAAUACAGAGGUCGCAAGCGUUGUUCGGACUGACUGGGCGUAAAGGGUGCGUAGGCUGUUUCGUAAGUCGUGUGUGAAAGGCGCGGGCUCAACCCGCGGACGGCACAUGAUACUGCGAGACUAGAGUAAUGGAGGGGGAACCGGAAUUCUCGGUGUAGCAGUGAAAUGCGUAGAUAUCGAGAGGAACACUCGUGGCGAAGGCGGGUUCCUGGACAUUAACUGACGCUGAGGCACGAAGGCCAGGGGAGCGAAAGGGAUUAGAUACCCGUGUAGUC